rnacentral:tRNA from 1 species
GCCCUCGUAGCUUAAUGGAUAAAGCUUCGGUCUUCGGAACCGACAAUGGGAGUUCGAUUCUCUCCGAGGGCA